rnacentral:lncRNA from 1 species
GCCACCGCUCCUCCCGUAUCCAUGUAGGAUUCAUUUUUUUAAAAGUUCUACUCCUUCCUCUGUAUCGUGGGCUUGGGCAGCCAAACAAAGCCGCGAUGGACACAGCAAAAACGUAAGGAAGAAGCAAAUCAGCAAAUUAGAGCACGAACAAUUCACUUUAUCAGGCAACACACGCAAGGGAAAAAGGAAAUCAGCAAAUCAGAGCACGAACAAUUCACUGUAUCGCAACAGGCAUUCACGGCUUCA